UACGGAGGGUGCAAGCGUUAAUCGGAAUUACUGGGCGUAAAGCGUGCGCAGGCGGUUUGUUAAGUCUGCUGUGAAAUCCCCGAGCUCAACUUGGGAAUUGCAGUGGAUACUGGCAAGCUGGAGUACGGUAGAGGAAGGUGGAAUUCCGGGUGUAGCGGUGGAAUGCGUAGAGAUCCGGAAGAACACCGGUGGCGAAGGCGGUCUGCUGGGGUUGAACUGACGCUGAGGCGCGACAGCGUGGGGAGCAAACAGG
rnacentral:rRNA from 1 species